ACUGAACGCUGGCGGCAUGCCUUACACAUGCAAGUCGAACGGCAGCACGGGUGCUUGCACCUGGUGGCGAGUGGCGAACGGGUGAGUAAUACAUCGGAACAUGUCCUGUAGUGGGGGAUAGCCCGGCGAAAGCCGGAUUAAUACCGCAUACGAUCUACGGAUGAAAGCGGGGGACCUUCGGGCCUCGCGCUAUAGGGUUGGCCGAUGGCUGAUUAGCUAGUUGGUGGGGUAAAGGCCUACCAAGGCGACGAUCAGUAGCUGGUCUGAGAGGACGACCAGCCACACUGGGACUGAGACACGGCCCAGACUCCUACGGGAGGCAGCAGUGGGGAAUUUUGGACAAUGGGCGAAAGCCUGAUCCAGCAAUGCCGCGUGUGUGAAGAAGGCCUUCGGGUUGUAAAGCACUUUUGUCCGGAAAGAAAUCCUUGGCCCUAAUACGGUCGGGGGAUGACGGUACCGGAAGAAUAAGCACCGGCUAACUACGUG
rnacentral:rRNA from 1 species